CGGCAAAGAUAAAAAUUACUAUUAUCUAGUCUAUCUACAAUUAACAAAAUUGAAAACAAAAUUGCAUUAAUAAAGGAAAUAUAUAAAACCUAGUUGAAAAGUAUAUCAUGGCUAAAACCUUGAAUAAGCCGUCAAGUAGAAAAGGUGGUGAACUAUACUGAAACGAAACACUGAUAUUUCUAGUCUGCAAAUGAAUUUCGCGAAAACAUGUUUCCCGCGCUAGUUUAUAAUUUCAAACAAAACUUGUACAAUAAACGUUCUUAAUAUUCCAAAUCGUUUUCAUUACUUUAGCACAUGGUAAUUUGUUUUGUGUUUGAAAUUUACAAAACAUUUCAAAGUAUUCGAUAUUACAGGAAAAGGCGCCUAUACGCUGCUAUCCAAUAAUAGCGCCUGUCCAACAUCGCAAAAUACCAGACAGGCACGUGACCCUAGUUAAAGAAUUGUGAUUGGUGCAUCACAUGUUAGAGUAUAUAAUAUUAGCAUAUAUAUUCCAAUGAUAUAGGCCUGUUUUCACAAUAUUUCAGUUUGCACUUUGAUGAAGGUCUGAAGCAUUUCGUUUAUUAAAAAAUUAUUCGCAGUUGAUCACCUUUUCGAUCGACUAUGUUGUGAAUCCUUCAGUUCUACUACAAAUACACAUUGCG